GAUGAACGCUGGCGGCGUGCCUAAUACAUGCAAGUCGAGCGAACAGAUGAGGAGCUUGCUCCUCUGACGUUAGCGGCGGACGGGUGAGUAACACGUGGAUAACCUACCUAUAAGACUGGGAUAACUUCGGGAAACCGGAGCUAAUACCGGAUAAUAUAUUGAACCGCAUGGUUCAAUAGUUAAAGACGGUUUUGCUGUCACUUAUAGAUGGAUCUGCGCCGCAUUAGCUAGUUGGUAAGGUAACGGCUUACCAAGGCAACGAUGCGUAGCCGACCUGAGAGGGUGAUCGGCCACACUGGAACUGAGACACGGUCCAGACUCCUACGGGAGGCAGCAGUAGGGAAUCUUACGCAAUGGGGGAAAGCCUGACGGAGCAACGCCGCGUGAGUGAUGAAGGUCUUCGGAUCGGAAAACUCUGUUAUUAGGGAAGAACAAAUGUGUAAGUAACUAUGCACGUCUUGACGGUACCUAAUCAGAAAGCCACGGCUAACUACGUG
rnacentral:rRNA from 1 species